CUCCUUACUAUAUUGUAAGUGACCCAUACUCAAAAAAAAAAUUACAAUGUAGUAAGCACAUUGUAAGGCUAAUGUCAACAUUGUAAGUUAAUUCCCUACGCUGCCAAGAGAGGGCAGAUCGGUGGCUGAAUGACCAAUCGGCAGUCAGCCUUGUAGACGUAACAGCCACAAGAAAGCCACAAAUCUCAGCUGUUUAUCGCUGGGCUACACCAAAGGUAAACAAUGCCACCAAAUAUCCAACUCAAAAGAAAAGAAGAUUAAAUUUCUCAGAUGAAGAGAUGUUGGCUCUCAUAGAAGCUGUGGCAACAAAGAAGAAUGUGGUUCUAGGUAAAUCAGAUAACAGAAUAACUGCACAAGUGAAAAAUAACGCCAGGGGAGUGUGGCUACGGAGGUGAAUCUUGUCGCUCGCGUACAGAGGAAUGUGAAUGAAGUGCGUAGGAAGUUCACAAACCUAAGAGCAGCCGUGAAGGAAAAGGCAGCACAAGAGAAAAAAUACACAUGGGAGGAACAGGUGGUGGCCCAGCAGUUCUGACAAACUACAGUCCUGUUGAAGAAGCUAUGUUGACACUGAUUGAGCCUGUUGCUAUUACUGGCUUACCAGGGGGUUUAUGAAAAUGAGACUGAAGUAGAUGAUGUUACAGAACCAACUCCUGGGCCAUCUGGGAUAGCAUCUCAGAUCAUAACAACUCAGCAGUUAUUGUAACAUUGGAUGAGGGAACUUCAGCAGAGCAAGAAAUGACAAUACCCAUUGUGUCAAUGGACCACAC